ACGACAAUAUCACAUUGAAACACCGCUUCCCGUACGAUCACUGGAGUUAAGCAACUUCGAGUCUGGUCAGUAGAUCGGUGACGGCUUGGGAAUACCAGGUGGUGAA